rnacentral:rRNA from 1 species
UACGUAGGGUGCGAGCGUUAAUCGGAAUUACUGGGCGUAAAGCGUGCGCAGGUGGCUCUUUAAGUCAGAUGUGAAAGCCCCGGGCUUAACCUGGGAACUGCGUUUGAAACUGGAGAGCUGGAGUGUGGCAGAGGAAGGUGGAAUUCCUGGUGUAGCAGUGAAAUGCGUAGAGAUCAGGAGGAACACCGAUGGCGAAGGCAGCCUUCUGGGCCAACACUGACGCUCAAGCACGAAAGCGUGGGGAGCAAACAGG